AAUUAUAUAUUUGUAUCUUUUGCCUUGUUGUUGCAUCAUCCUCUUCCUUAAAAUCAUUGCUUGUUAGCUUCUGUCUAGAACUUUUAUAAUAUGUUUAGUUAAAACAAUAUCCAUGUACAGCUUUACUCCUUCAAUUAUAACUCAUUAUAAUCAUUACUGUGUUUCUUUGCAGGUUUCUAUCAAGACAAACCUCUUUUUUUUUCUUCCAAGUAUGGUGUCAUCACUAUAACAUUAACAGGGCCUGUGGUUAGUGAAGAGAUGGAUGUUCCUCAGAUGGAGUCAUCAGAGGUUAAGACUGUUGAUAUUCUUGCAGACACAACAUUUGGAGAAGACAAUGAUGGUCUAAAAAAUAUAAAAUCAGCUUUCUUGUUGUUCUGUCAAGGAAAUGUUGUAAGUGUUGUUUAAUGUGCAGUCAGAAAAUUCAUACAGACAUACAUACCUGCAUGAAAUGAUUAAAUUCAAGGGAGUAUUAAAUUAUUUAAAAAUGUUCAUGUCCUAGAAGAAAAAAAUAUGUGUCUUUGAAAGCUUUUGAGAGCAUUGAGGCUUGCAGAUCAUUGCAAGGUCUCAGUUUUGCAAUUCUAAUAAAAAUUAGUAUUGGAUUGUUUUCAGAAAAAAUUGUGAAUUAAAUGUGUAAAUCAAGUGUCAGUAAAUAGGAAGCAAAAUUUCAAUUUUGUGAUAGAAGAUGAAAAUGUGUCUGUCUUAUGUUUGCCUUAACUCACUGAUGCCUGUACCGGCCGUAAACGGCCGUGACACAUGUUGGCCUUUGUUCCACUUCUGACUUCAUCACCUUUGACCAAAAUUGGUAUCACUUAUCAAGCCUGCAAAGCAUUCAAAUCAUAAGCAGGUCAUUUGUCAGGCCAAGGACAAGUUUUGACCUGACAAAAAGUCAGUCUGGUCGGACAAAUUAAAAAUAAGAGACAUUGAGACAUUAAGUUUUGGUAUUUCAUUUUACUCCCUUUGCCAAAAUGCUGGUUGCAAAUUCAAAUGACUUAAAGUAGACUCAACAGAGUGUAAAAUCAAUACUGGCACCAGAAAGGAGACCUUUAGGUUAAGUCAGGUAUUAUUUUACCUGUUGAAAAUUGACAAAUUAAUAAAUGUUUGUAUCCCUAGUUUACCUUCACUCACUUGAUCACACGUGUAUUCCGUAUUUUCCCGAAUAUCAAGUUUCCCAAUGUCUAAGGAAAACCACGGGAAAAACGAUGAAACAGUAUCCAGCAUGGACAGCUUGUGAGUAUAAAAACUCACAAUAACAUUCAGAGACUUGAAAUUGGCUGAAAUGAAUUCUUCAACUUUUUCAGAAAGCAAGUUUCCCCGAAAAUUUUCUUUGGGGUUCAACUGAAUAAUAGAUUUGAAAAUUGGGAUUUGAAGUGGUCGUGACUACAAAGCAUGACUAAUUUGUACGUUCACACUUUUCACAAAACAUGUCUGUGGUAUGGAAACCACAGACGUAAAAAAAACUAUGACGAGAUGUAAAGCGGAUUUUUGAUCAUACGGACUUGUGAAACAUUUGGUUACGUUUUAGUUGUUUUAAAGUUUUGAAAGCAAUUGCAUUCAGAUAAAGUUGAUAAAUGAAACGCAAGAAUUUUGCCGUGUAUUCAAUUUACAUAAUAUUUUUCUUGGGCAAAAUUACAACUGAAAAUUAAAUCCAUAACACUUGCAGAUAACAAACAACAACAUAAGACCUCAAAUUUUAGAAGUUUUUCAGAAGAACAUUAUUCAGACUACAUGGGGCUUCACAAUCUUUCACGAC